UCCCCAAUGAGGGCACGCGUGAAAAGGCUGCACACACAGGUGCUGGUCCUAGUCGGAGCCCCAAAGGCAAGCAUUGGGUUUCCGGUUCCGGGAAUAACCAACCGCCGCAGAGGCGACAACUACUGUUUUGGAAGAGGCUGAGGUGGAGGAGGAAGAAGAGCAAAAGUGGAACGGGCGGGUCGCGCGAGCCGGGUCCUUCCCUUGGGUCCACGGGCCUAGAGCGGAGGAAGCUGCGGGCCUAGUGUCAAGCUGGCUUCUGUUCUGUCCCUGAAGCAUCUAUGGCUGAGGCCUGGCAGGACUGCCCAGCCCUGGGCCCUGGCUGGAAACGCCGAGAGGCCUUUAGAAAGUCAGGGGCCUCUUGUGGACGCUCAGACAUCUAUUAUCAGAGCCCCACAGGAGAAAAGAUCCGAAGCAAAGUUGAGCUGACUCGAUACUUGGGCCCUGCAUGUGAUCUUACCCUGUUUGACUUCAGACAAGGCGUCUUAUGCCAUCCCAUUCCCAAGACCCAUCCCUUGGCUGUCCCCAGCAAGAAGAAAAAGAAGCCUUCUAAACCAGCCAAGGCUAAGAAACAUCAGGUUGGACCACAGAGAAGUGAGGUCAGGAAAGAAACUCCACGGAAGGAAAAUAAGACUGCUACUGCCACCACUCCAGCUUCAUUACUUGUGUCUGAACCUGCACCUACACCUGCACAUGCACCUGCAUCUGCACCGGCGUUCUGUGAGAAUUGUGGAAUCCGCUUGCCAUGCGAUGGUAUCAAAAGGCAGAGACUCAGGACAUUGUGCAAAGACUGCCGAGCACAGAGAGUUGCCUUCAACCGAGAGCAGAGAAAGUUUAAGCGAUUUGGCUGUGGGGAGUGCACAGCUUGUCUGGUGAAAGAGGACUGCGGGGUAUGCUCCACCUGUUGCCUGCAGCUGCCCCACGAUGUGGCCUCAGGGCUUUUCUGCAAGUGUGAGCAGAGACGCUGCCUGCGAAUUGUGGAGAAGAGCCAAGGGUGUGGUGUGUGUCGGGGUUGUCAGACCCAAGAGGACUGUGGCCAUUGCCGCAUCUGCCUUCGCUCUCCCCGCCCUGGUCUCAAACGCCAGUGGAGGUGUUUGCAGCGGCGCUGUUUUUGGGGUAAACGUGAUUAUAGUAAGAGAGGCUCGAAGGCUGCUUCUCAGCAUCGCUCCCAAGCCCCGCAACUUCUUCCACAUCCUGCAUCACAGCACCCAGAGCCCACAGAGCUGCACAUCAGCGACGUAGCCCCCACAUCACCUGCUGAGUUCAUCUAUUACUGUGUAGACGAGGACGAGCUACAGCCCUACAUGAACCAGCGGCAGAACCGCAAGUGUGGGGCCUGUGCAGCCUGCCUACGGCGGAUGGACUGUGGCCACUGCGACUUCUGCUGGGACAAGCCCAAAUUCGGGGGCAGCAACCAGAAGCGCCAGAAGUGUCGUUGGCGCCAGUGCCUGCAGUUUGCCAUGAAGCGAUUGCUGCCCAUUCCUGGGUCAGGGUCUGAGGAGGGAGCAGGAUUGCCUCCACAGCCUCAUCGAAAGAGGCCUGCUUCUGCUCGACAGCUCCAACCGAGUGCUCCCUUAAAGGCCCCUUUGGCUGUGGUCACAACCCCACCAGGCCCUGUCCAAGUUUCAAGAAAGCAGCAAGCAGGUAGAGGCUCUAUACUGCCCCAGCCUGACACAGACCUUGUGGUUUUACAGGAGGGUACCAGCAGUCUCAUGCAGGUGCCUGGCACUGCUGCUCCUUUCACAGAAGCCCCAGUACAGGAGGCCCAGUGCUCUGCCCCGAGUUGGGUUGUGGCCUUACCCCAGGUGAAGCAAGAGAAGGCAGAUGCCCCACAGGAGUGGACAGCAGUCACCACCAUCCUGACUUCUUCCACGUUGCAGUCUGGCUUCCCUAGCAAGGCAGUAGACCCAGACCUUCCACUUGUGAAACAAGAGCCCCCUGGCCCUGAGGAGCUUAGAGAAGAGAACAAAGAAGAUUAUGUCUCUGAAGCAACCCCAGCAGAGGAGAUAGGAGGAGUUGGCACGCCAGUGAUCACAGAGAUUUUCAGCCUGGGUGGAACCCGCCUUCGGGAUGCAGAAGCCUGGUUGCCAAGGUGUGCCCCAUACAGUCCAAGGACCUUAAAAAACCUGAAGCUAAAAUGCAGUAGACUGGAGGCUUCUGCUGACUGUAGGACUGAAGGUGAUAUUUGCAGACCGGCUUUAUGAAAAACAGCCCUGAUCCUCCAGGGACUGGGCCCUGGCCUGUGGAGCUUGAGUGUGAAUCCACCCUAGGAGAAAAGCCUACAAGCACAAAGAGCAGGCCUGCUCAGGCCUUGGAACUUAGAGGAAACAAGCCGGAGAGGAAGAGAAAGAGUAGAAGGCUGGUAGAACAUCUGCUCCUUCGAGAACUUCAGUGCGAUGAGAAGUUGGAUGGUAGGGAGGGUAGCUGAAGCUUCUACAAACAACAACUCACACAAGCCAUCUUCAAAGCGUUUGUUGGUGGCUUCUGGAUGACCUGGCAGUGUGUCUGAACAUUUUCUCAGGGAAAUAGCAGUUACAAUGCUAUGCUACAUAAACUGUUAGCAGUAAAUGAAAAUGAGUAUUUUACUGAGCUGCAGUUGAAAGAAGAAAUAUUAUAGGAGAGAAAAAACAAUUAUUAAGAGAAGAAAGACUUUCUUUUGUGGCUGAAAAGCUGAACCUGGAAUUCAGGAAAUGGAAUCCAAAUCUAGAGAUGUACCAUAUAGAAAAUCUGAAGUGGGUGGGGUACAAAUAAUUAAGCAAACUAAUUUGAAGAAAACCAACCUUAAACGUGAAUAUACGUGAAUUGCACUUAGUAUCUGUCAGUGACUGGCCUUAUUACUACCUCCUCCCCCCAACCUCCCUUCUUGUUUCCCCAACCCCAGCCCACUUUACAGGGGCACCACAGUAGCAAUCAAUUGGCUCUUAAGCAGUAUAACUCCAUUUUACUAUCACUGGGAACUACAACAAGACCUCUGUGGCGACCCAAGUCUCAAGGGUGAAGGGUAUGGUCUCAUUCCGUGUAUGCCGAAGACCGUCUAGUUUCCUGGACAGUAUUGCUAGUUUUACCUGGGAUCCUGAUUCUCAAGAAUUGAGUAUCUGGACUUCUGAUCCGAAGCUGAUUCCUCCAGACUAUUGUGCCCAGCCCAGACAACUGCCAUGCCAGUGUAUCUGAUCUGCCCUCUUUCUGUGUUAGCCCAGUGUGAGCCCCAUUUUCUGUUCAGUGCAGUAGGAAGAUUUUGUUCAGAUAUUACUGGUUGCAUGGCUGGACAAAGCACUUCGGCUUCUUGAGCCUUAAUCGACUUCAAACUAAAGCUAAUACCUUCAACUCCUUCAACCCUGUAAGAAUUUUGUCAACCUCAAAGGUUGUUUCUGGAAAUACUUUGCGAAUUGUAAAAAAAAAAAAAAGAAAAGAAAAGAAAUACAAGUA